GAAGUGAGUCAGCAAUCCAAUUACAUGUUUUAAUUAACCAUCACAUUUAUCACAUGUUAUCACAUGCUUAAGAUUCAAAAGUACGUUGAGGCUCCUUCCACCUGAGUUCAGCCCUCCUCCGCCGUGGCGGAGCUUCAAUAUCUACACUACCUAACUCAUCUCCUUCAUCUCUUUCCUCUGAGUCCGAAUCUUGCCCUAAAAAUCUCCAAUUCUUCCUCAACAAUCUGAACUGAAGAAAUGUGUUCAAGAACCCUAGAAACGAAAUGAGAAAUAAAAUUGUUAAACUCUGGAAUCAAAGCCCUAGAGGUUAGGGCUUUGAUUCUCCUGACCAACCUCUACAUCAUGGCAACUAGGACGAAUCAAAAUGCUUAAGAUAAACUAAAUCACUCACCGGAGCGGACGCCAGAACUCAGAUAUGAUGUUCUAAGUCUUUGAAUCUUUCUCCUCUUCGUCUUAGAAUCCUUCUUCUUCUUCACUUUCUUCUUCUUCUAUGUGUGUCUUUGAUGAUGGAGUUUAGUACAAGCUGAUUGAAGCUCUGAUGAUGACCUUCAAUGCCUUCCGAGGAGUGCGUAUAUGUGAGGUUAAGGGAGGGAGAGCGAGAAACUUCAGGGAGUACAGUGAGAGAGAUGGAGAUGACUCAAUGUAAACUCUUGUGCAAAUGAUUGCUAAUCCCAAAAAAGGUGAAUCAAUGUGAUUUAUAAGGGUUUCUUAUCGUAACUGAAUGGGGCAGAGUUAGGGCAGAGUUAGAGCAGGGUUAAUUUAUGAGUCAAUUCAGUUGAGUUGUGUAACUAUUUUUUGAUCAAAUCCAAAGUUAGUUAUGUGGUUAAUAUCUGCAAAUCCCAAUGCCAAACAUUUAGGGCAAGUUAGUUAGGUUUUAUUAGUGAAUUGCUAAGUUGUGUAGUUUGUGGAUUGGUUUUUGUGAGUCCAAUUGUGAGUGUUGAGCCAUGAUAUAUUAGUUGAAUUUUCUUUUUGGUUUAGUUAUGAUUUCGGGUUUAAUUUGAUGAUGCUUUAGUUUAUUGUUUUGUGGUUCAGUCUAUGAUAUUCUUGUGGGUUUGCUGUGAAUGUCAGUUUGGUUUUGUUGUGUUAGAGAUGCAUUUUUGUUGUUUUACUGUGAUGCUACUAACUUGAUGAUGUAUAAUGUCCUUGAUGUGCCUUCUACAUAUAAUUAUGACCUUGUAAUGCAGGCUUGUUGCAUUGUUGAAUCUUGGUUGUGUGCAACAGGUCUGCAACAUAUGGUUUAGACUUGGGGAUGCAUCAUAGCUUGGUCACAUGCAUUGUUUUGCUAUUGGAUUAUUAAUGCAGAAUUGUCUCAUGGGUUGUAGGUGGUUUCUACUCGAUUUUUACUGUGACUGUGAUGUAUAUGAUGUUUAUUAUAUGAUAAUGAUGAAAUGAUGUAGGAUGGUGGUAUUGGCAUGCCUUGAAGUGGUGUUGAGUCAAUGAAUGCAGGGGUGUCUUCAUGGCUUCUAUCAUCUGCUUUGUGCAGGUCUGAGACUAGGUCUGCAAUAGGCUGAAUAUGCAUUGUUUGGAUUUGCUGCUGGAUGUAUUCAAUAUGCAUAAAAAUAUAUGGCCUCCUAUGAUGCAAGAUGCAUAGGCAUUGCUGGUAUGACCAGACUAUGGCAUGUUACAGCAUGUGUGUUCACUUGGCUUGUGAUUGGUUGGUUGCACAAACAAAAUGACAACAAGACUUCCUCGUGAAGAACCAAGUGGAUUGGCCAGUCGAGAUCAAUUAUGGAACAUGAGGAUUAGGAUUAGGAUAUUUAGGGAUGCAAAGUGAUUAAGUUGACUUUGGUCAAAAUUGACCAAAAAAUCAACUGUUGACCAAAGUCAAUUGUUGACCAAAGUCAACAAUUAGUUCAAAGUUCUUUUUUUUGUAUUUUUCUCAUGGAAUGGACAUUAAUGGAUUGUAAAUGGUUAUUUGAACGAAAUUAAAUGGAUUUCAAAUUGGUUUUGAA